rnacentral:rRNA from 1 species
AUUGAACGCUGGCGGAAUGCUUUACACAUGCAAGUCGAACGGUAGAGGGGGCAACCCCUCGAGAGUGGCGAACGGGUGAGUAAUAUAUCGGAACGUGCCCAGUCGUGGGGGAUAACGUAGCGAAAGUUACGCUAAUACCGCAUACGAUCUAAGGAUGAAAGCGGGGGAUCGCAAGACCUCGCGCGAUUGGAGCGGCCGAUAUCAGAUUAGGUAGUUGGUGGGGUAAAGGCUCACCAAGCCAACGAUCUGUAGCUGGUCUGAGAGGACGACCAGCCACACGGGAACUGAGACACGGUCCAGACUCCUACGGGAGGCAGCAGUGGGGAAUUUCGGACAAUGGACGCAAGUCUGAUCCAGCCAUUCCGCGUGCAGGAUGAAGGCCCUCGGGUUGUAAACUGCUUUUGUACGGAACGAAAAGGUCUCUCUUAAUACGGGGGACUCAUGACGGUACCGUAAGGAUAAGCACUGGCUAACUACGUGCCAGCCGCCGCGGUAACAC